rnacentral:tRNA from 1 species
UCCCGCGUGGCUCAGUUGGUAGAGCAUGGUGUUUGCAACGCCAGGGUUGUGGGUUUGAUUCCCACGGGGGAC